AGGAGACAAGAAGGCAUCUUCUUGUUUUUAAAAGACCUAGCAAUAGGUAUGCUUAGGGAGGAGCUUGCGUCACAUUAGUUAGUUGGUGGGGUAAAGGCCUACCAAGACUAUGAUGUGUAGCCGGGCUGAGAGGUUGAACGGCCACAUUGGGACUGAGACACGGCCCAAACUCCUACGGGAGGCAGCAGUAGGGAAUUUUCGGCAAUGGAGGAAACUCUGACCGAGCAACGCCGCGUGAACGAUGAAGUAUUUCGGUACGUAAAGUUCUUUUAUUAGGGAAGAAUAAAUGAUGGAAAAAUCAUUCUGACGGUACCUAAUGAAUAAGCCCCGGCUAACUAUGUGCCAGCAGCCGCGGUAAUACAUAGGGGGCAAGCGUUAUCCGGAAUUAUUGGGCGUAAAGGGUGCGUAGGCGGUUAAAUAAGUUUAUGGUCUAAGUGCAAUGCUCAACAUUGUGAUGCUAUAAAAACUGUUUAGCUAGAGUAAGAUAGAGGCAAGUGGAAUUCCAUGUGUAGUGGUAAAAUGCGUAAAUAUAUGGAGGAACACCAGUAGCGAAGGCGGCUUGCUGGGUCUUUACUGACGCUGAGGCACGAAAGCGUGGGGAGCAAACAGGAUUAGAUACCCUGGUAGUCCACGCCGUAAACGAUGAGUACUAAACGUUGGGUAAAACCAGUGUUGAAGUUAACACAUUAAGUACUCCGCCUGAGUAGUACGUACGCAAGUAUGAAACUUAAAGGAAUUGACGGGACUCCGCACAAGCGGUGGAUCAUGUUGUUUAAUUCGAAGGUACCCGAAAAACCUCACCAGGUCUUGACAUGCUUCUGCAAAGCUGUAGAAACACAGUGGAGGUUAUCAGUUGCACAGGUGGUGCAUGGUUGUCGUCAGCUCGUGUCGUGAGAUGUUGGGUUAAGUCCCGCAACGAGCGCAACCCUUAUUGUUAGUUACCAGCACGUAAUGGUGGGGACUUUAGCAAGACUGCCAGUGAUAAAUUGGAGGAAGGUGGGGACGACGUCAAAUCAUCAUGCCCCUUAUGACCUGGGCUACAAACGUGAUACAAUGGCUGUUACAAAGGGUAGCUGAAGCGCAAGUUUUUGGCGAAUCUCAAAAAAACAGUCUCAGUUCGGAUUGAAGUCUGCAACUCGACUUCAUGAAGUUGGAAUCGCUAGUAAUCGCGAAUCAGCAUGUCGCGGUGAAUACGUUCUCGGGGUUUGUACACACCGCCCGUCA
rnacentral:rRNA from 1 species